CCCUUGGCAACGAGCGCGACCCCUGCCCUUAGUUGCCAGCGGGCAGAGCCGGGCACUCUAAGGGGACUGCCGCCGAUGAGGCGGAGGAAGGUGGGGAUGACGUCAAAUCAUCAUGCCCCUUAUGCCCUGGGCUACACACGUGCUACAAUGGGUGCUACAGAGGGCAGCGAAGGCGCGAGCUGGAGCGAAUCCCAAAAAAGCACCCCCAGUUCGGAUUGCAGGCUGCAACUCGCCUGCAUGAAGUCGGAAUCGCUAGUAAUCGCGGAUCAGCAUGCCGCGGUGAAUACGUUCCCGGGCCUUGUACACACCGCCCGUCACACCAUGAGAGUCAGCAACACCUGAAGACACAGGGCAUCUGUGUUGAAGGUGGGGCUGAUGAUUGGGGUGA
rnacentral:rRNA from 1 species